GACGAACUGUGCAAACGUUAUUCGGAAUCACUGGGCUUGAAGAGUGCGUAGGCGGUUUCGUAAGUAGGGUGUGAAAGCCCUCGGCUCAACCGGGGAAUUGCGUCCUAAACUGCGAGGCUAGAGUGAGGUAGGGGUGUGCGGAACUUCCAGUGGAGCGGUGAAAUGUGUUGAUAUUGGAAGGAACGCCGGUGGCGAAAGCGGCACACUGGACCUUGUCUGACGCUGAGGCACGAAAGCCAGGGGAGCAAACGGGAUUAGAAACCCUUGUAGUCC
rnacentral:rRNA from 1 species